rnacentral:rRNA from 1 species
AUUGAACGCUGGCGGCAGGCCUAACACAUGCAAGUCGAACGGUAACAGGAAGAAACUUGCUUCUUUGCUGACGAGUGGCGGACGGGUGAGUAAUGUCUGGGAAACUGCCUGAUGGAGGGGGAUAACUACUGGAAACGGUAGCUAAUACCGCAUAACGUCGCAAGACCAAAGAGGGGGACCUUCGGGCCUCUUGCCAUCGGAUGUGCCCAGAUGGGAUUAGCUAGUAGGUGGGGUAACGGCUCACCUAGGCGACGAUCCCUAGCUGGUCUGAGAGGAUGACCAGCCACACUGGAACUGAGACACGGUCCAGACUCCUACGGGAGGCAGCAGUGGGGAAUAUUGCACAAUGGGCGCAAGCCUGAUGCAGCCAUGCCGCGUGUAUGAAGAAGGCCUUCGGGUUGUAAAGUACUUUCAGCGGGGAGGAAGGGAGUAAAGUUAAUACCUUUGCUCAUUGACGUUACCCGCAGAAGAAGCACCGGCUAACUCCGUG